rnacentral:rRNA from 1 species
UACGUAGGGUGCGAGCGUUGUCCGGAUUUAUUGGGCGUAAAGAGCUCGUAGGCGGUUCGUCGCGUCGGCUGUGAAAUCCCGGAGCUCAACUCCGGGUCUGCAGUCGAUACGGGCGGACUCGAGUUCGGCAGGGGAGACUGGAAUUCCUGGUGUAGCGGUGAAAUGCGCAGAUAUCAGGAGGAACACCGGUGGCGAAGGCGGGUCUCUGGGCCGAUACUGACGCUGAGGAGCGAAAGCGUGGGGAGCGAACAGG